AUCGUGGCUGCAAAAGAACAAAGUUCUUUAGAUACACUGUCCUGGUGGAUAAAUUCUAAAAUUUGUUUGCAAAAAUAGACAUUUAUGUGACAGGUAUAACUAUGUUUGUAUGUACAACAGUGAACUCCUUCAGGCAUAAAUCAAGGUUAAAAGGCAGGUACCCUUUUUUUUAUUAGGGUGGCAACUGCAGUUUUAAAAGACCAAGUUUUUAUUCAUAUGGCAGCUGAAGCUCACCGAAAUUCAAAGCAAGUUCUUUACCCUGCUUCAAGAUAGUAGUUGUCAUUCUUAUGAAGUCUAGCUCUCUCCUCUUGUUUCCGUUUCUUCCAAAUUUCAAUGUCUUUACCACCCUCGGUGUUGGAGCCAGGAGUAAGGUUUUCUCCAUGAACACUGGAGACGGGUACAGAGAGGUUGUUGGCUGGUGGCUGAUAGCGAAUCAGGUCAAGACACUGCUGUAGAAUCUGUCCCGUGAAGUCACCGGCAGCAUAGC